GAAUCCAGCCAUCAUCUGAGGAAGCAGUUCAUGUCGCAGCAAAGGAAGUUCUGUUCUCACCACAGCCCCUAUCUUCUGGAAGCAGCUGUCGUAAUUGAAAGGGUGCAUUUCUCACCUGCACUGUGGUCCAGGAAACUCAAGUCACCGUCCCCACCAUGUUCUUCCUGACUUCGAAGCAGUCUGGUGACCCCAGGCAGGAACUGACUAGCAUGAGAGUCUUGAUGCAGGAGAAUUUUUGAAGAAAUUCAGAAGCAGAACCGAAAGGAGGAGAGAAGGUGGAGGUGGGAAAGCUGACAGCUGGAGACUGGGGAGGGCCCUUUGAGGCCUGGGAGAGAAUAUGUGGAUGGUGGGGAGACCUUUCCCAGCAUUUUGGUAAAGGCUCCGUCAGUGCCCUGUCCUCGUGUUGGGGUCCCCCUCUCACAAAGUAUCUUUUCCACCUUUAGCCACCUCCACCCUGUCCACUAACCUUCAGUGGGAACAGCAGAUGCAACUGGCGGGGCUGAAGGUCAGUGGGAACUCCAGGGCCCCAGAGAAGGCCUGCACCACACUGAGCAGGAUCCAGGAGAGUGGAGAAGGGAGGUCGAGGUCCCUGUUAGAGGAGGGUGUGAAGGGGUCAAGAUGAAGGAGCAGCAGGACCUGAGGCCCUCCCUCUGCACACAGACUUUCUCUGGAAACAGCAGGCAGUGAGAUGGAGUGAGAACUGGAAUAAGGCAAGGAAUAUUGCUGAGAUGGUUCUCAAAUCAAUGGAGAGAGAUGUCCGUGGAUGAAUCACAAAGGGAGGGAAUGGGUGCAAAGGCCUCACUGAGAUCCAAUGACAGCAGAAGCUGCCAGGAUCUGACGUAAACCAGUUUGGUUGAAGUGUUGGGGGAGGCUAUAUGACCACAUUUUGUUUCUAUUGGCACAAUUCCAUACAUGGAAAAUGUCAUGAGACUCAAAAAUGGGUUCAGCAGAAGCUCAAAAAUAUGCUACAAAAUUCAGGAAGAAGCUAAAAUAUUAUCAGAUUAUUUUAUAAAGGACACAACUAGUCAGGAACCUUUUGAAAACACCAGCAUGCAUCAUCCAAAGAAGUAGAAUCCAAUUAAAAAAAAAAAAAAGACUGGGAGGAGUACAUCACAAAGGAGGGUGAGAUUUGGGAAGACAGUUACUCUAAGACCCUGUGAGCAAACUGCACCUGAUUCCAGAAAGACAGUUGGAGUCGAGGAGAGAAUGAAGCAACUUUACUGGCUGGGUUGAAGCCUACCCUAUCAGAACGGAAUAAGGCUAAUGCGGUUAUCAAGGUUCUCUUGAAGGAAAUAAUCCCCUGGUUUGGGUUGCCCCAAAGCCUCCAAAGUGAUAAUCGCUUGUCUUCUGCCUCCCAAAUAACUCAAAGGGUUGCUAAGGCUCUCAGAAUUAAAUACUAUUUACACUCAGCAUGGAGGCCUCAAUCCUCAGGGAAAGUAGAAAGGGCUAAUCAAACUCUAAAACUGGCAUUAGCUAAGCUAUGUCAGGAAACAUCAGAAACUUGGAUCAACUUACUGCCCAUAGCCCUCUUAAGAAACCAUUAUUCUCCAAGAGCAAAAAUUAAUAUAAGCCCAUAUAAAAUGUUAUAUGGGAGGCCAUUUUAACUAAUGAUCUAAUUACUGAUCCAGAAACGGCUGAGUUAAUAAAAUACCUAGUUAACCUAGGACAGUUUCAGCAGGUCUCGCAAGAGUUUGGAACUCAAAGGCUCCCCGCACCAGGAACUAACCAGCAAACCAAGGUCAGGCCAGGAGAUAAGGUACUUGUUAAAACAUGGAAUGAGGAGUCACCUGCUCAACAACUACAACCCUAAUGGAAGGGACUAUUUUCACUGGUGUUGGCCAUGCCUUCCAUGGCCAAAGUACUAGGAUUAGAUAGUUGGAUACCUCUUUCCAGGUUUAAGCCUGCAACAUCUGAAGCCCUGGACCUGGAACCGGAGACUCCCACCAGCCACUAUACCUGUGAACCCGUAGAAGACCUGAACUACCUAUUUAAAAGACAGUCAAAAGAUAAGUAAAUGCCUACCAAUUUUCCCUGGUGUAAAAUGUUAACUGAUUUUUGCUCUCUCACUUACAGAUGUUUGUAUAAGGGUUUCAGCCAAUUUUGGAACAAAAUUCAAAAUCAGGCCAAAAUACUUACCUGUUGUGACUAGAUCAAGCCAGCUGUACCUUUUAUAACCACGUACAAGGCUUGCCGCAACCCAUGGAUACCCACCUAAAUACUUAGGAAUAGAGAGCCAUGAUCCUCAGUAGGCAGGGACAAUGCCCAUGACCAGUAGAAAGUAGCUACAGAAAACUGAUCUUCAGCCCUUUUGCCUCCCAUAAAGAUUUAUGGGGAUCAUAUCUCUCAGAGGGAAAUGAGGCAGGAGAAUAGGGAAUUAGGGUAACCAGGGUUUCAGCUGGUGCAGCCAGUGCCGCAGGGGUGGAAGAACAGCAGGUGCAGCCAGUUCAAAUGAGCAGAAGAACAGCAGGUGCAGCAUAUAGGCCACAUCCUUGCUCCCAUGAUAACAAGCCACUUCAGCCUCCGAUUGGUCUCAGGCCAAUCCUUUAUGAGGUGUGGUCAAUUGGAGGCCUCUGAAGGGCACUGAGAGGUGUUGCCGGGUUUUUUCUUUAAUAAAAACCGUAAUUGAGGGGGCUCUUGAGCAGCCGCUUGCUCAAGCCCAAUCCCACUCUGAAUUUUCUUCAAUAAAUCUGUGCCCACACUGGCAUUUUGUUCAGUUCCUUGCCCAAUACACCAAGAACAGCAGGUGCAGCAUACAGGCCACAUCCUGGCUGGACAACUCACAUUUAGGACACUCUCUCCGGCAACAGGUGACAUCAUCCUCUUAGCCUGUCAAAAUGUUGGUAUUACAGGCAUGAGCUGCCCUGCCUGGCCUAUAACUUUUUUUGCUGAAAAAUAUUCCCUUGUAUGCAGGUAUUACAUUUAGCCAUUCAUCAGCUGGUGGACAUUUGAACUGUUUCCACUUUUGUUUACUAUGAAUAAAGCUGCUAUGAACACCUGUGUAAAGUUUUGCAUAGACAUGUUUUCAUUUCUGUAUAUAUAUCUAA
rnacentral:lncRNA from 1 species